rnacentral:rRNA from 1 species
GCCCAAAAUUUAGCCCUAAUUUUUCUUAUAAACUCCCCACAUCAACCCACCGCUACUAAAACAUUCUAACAAUCUAGUACAGGCGAUCGAAAAACUUCUAAGAGCUACAAAUAGUACUGCAAAGGAACAAUGAAAUAGAAAUGAAACAACACUAAAGCCCCACACAGUAGAGACUCCCACUCGUACCUUUUGCAU